UUCGUAGGCGGUGCGGCAAGUUGGGAGUGAAAUCUCUGGGCUUAACCCAGAGGCUGCUUCCAAAACUGCCGUGCUCGAGUGUGGGAGAGGCGCGUGGAAUUGCAGGUGUAGCGGUGAAAUGCGUAGAUAUCUGCAGGAACACCCGUGGCGAAAGCGGCGCGCUGGACCACAACUGACGCUGAGGAACGAAAGCUAGGGGAGCAAACAGGAUUAGAUACCCUGGUAGUCCUAGCCCUAAACGAUCAGGACUUGGGGUGCCGCCCGUUCGGGCGUCGUCCCGGAGCUAACGCGUUAAGUCCUGCACCUGGGGAGUACGGUCGCAAGACUGAA
rnacentral:rRNA from 1 species